UACGAAGGGGGCUAGCGUUGCUCGGAAUGACUGGGCGUAAAGGGCGCGUAGGCGGCUUGCACAGUCAGGCGUGAAAUUCCUGGGCUCAACCUGGGGACUGCGCUUGAGACGUGUGGGCUUGAGUGGGGAAGAGGGUCGUGGAAUUCCCAGUGUAGAGGUGAAAUUCGUAGAUAUUGAGAAGAACACCGGUGGCGAAGGCGGCGACCUGGUCCUUGACUGACGCUGAGGCGCGAAAGCGUGGGGAGCAAACAGG
rnacentral:rRNA from 1 species